rnacentral:rRNA from 1 species
AAAUUGAAGAGUUUGAUCAUGGCUCAGAUUGAACGCUGGCGGCAGGCCUAACACAUGCAAGUCGAACGGUAACAGGAAGCAGCUUGCUGCUUCGCUGACGAGUGGCGGACGGGUGAGUAAUGUCUGGGAAACUGCCUGAUGGAGGGGGAUAACUACUGGAAACGGUAGCUAAUACCGCAUAAUGUCGCAAGACCAAAGAGGGGGACCUUCGGGCCUCUUGCCAUCGGAUGUGCCCAGAUGGGAUUAGCUAGUAGGUGGGGUAACGGCUCAC